rnacentral:lncRNA from 1 species
GAGAGAGAGGGAGGAGAGCGAGCGAGAGAGAAGCGAGCGAGAGAGAGGAAAGAGAGGAGAGAGCGAGCCAACGAGGAGAGAGAGCGAGAGAGAGCGAGCCAACGAGGAGAGAGAGCGAGCCAGCGAGGAGAGAGCGAGCCAACGAGGAGAGAGAGCGAGCGAGGAGAGCGGAGAGAGCGAGGAGAGAGAGAGCGAGGAGAGAGAGGAAGAGAGAGAGGAGAGAGCGAGCCAACGAGGAGAGAGAGCGAGCCAACGAGGAGAGAGAGCGAGCGAGAGAGAGCGAGCCAACGAGGAGAGAGAGCGAGCCAACGAGGAGAGAGAGCGAGCGAGGAGAGCGGAGAGAGCGAGGAGAGCGGAGAGAGCGAGGAGAGAGAGAGAGCGAGGAGAGCGAGGAGAGAGCGAGCGAGGAGAGAGCGAGCGAGGAGAGAGGGAGGGGAGAGAGAGGGAGGAGGGAGAGAGCGAGCCAACGAGGAGAGAGAGCGAGCCAACGAGGAGAGAGAGCGAGCCAACGAGGAGAGAGCGAGCCAACGAGGAGAGAGCGAGCGAGGAGAGAGCGAGCGAGGAGAGAACAAGCGAGGAGAGAGCGAGCGAGGAGAGAGAGGGAGAGUGAGCGAGGGAGAGUGAGCGAGGAGAGAGGGGGAGGGGAGAGAGAGGGAGGAGAGAGAGCGAGCGAGGAGAGAGAGCGAGGAGAGAGAGAGCGAGGAGAGAGAGCGAGCGAGGAGAGAGAGCGAGCAGGGAGAGAGCGAGCAGGGAGAGAGCGAGAAAAGAGAGAGCGAGGAGAGAGAGAGCGGGGAGAGAGAGAGCGAGGAGAGAGCGAGCGAGGAGAGAGAGCGAGCAGGGAGAGAGCGAGGAGGGAGAGCGCGAGUGAGGAAAGUGGCUAAGUUGUGAUUCCCUCCCCUUCUCCUGGUUGCAGGGGCGGCAAUCCCGGGGGGGACGGGGGACACACGACCCCCCCAUCCUGGGAAAAAUAUGAUAUCACUGAAACAUAACUAUGUAAUUUAAAUAAUAUUAAUAAUACGCAAUGAAAGCAAUUGUGCUGAUUAUAGACACUUAAUAGCGCGUUUUUAAGUUUCAAAAGAUUGCGAUCCCCCCAUCCUUUGCCUCACAAUGGUUUGAUCCACUGCCAGUUCCUUAGUUGGCAAGGUAACAGAGGGGUCGUAUCUACUGUCUGAAAGGCACUCAAUGAACGUAACUGACGUGAGGUUAAUCCAGUCAAUCGCGCACACACACUAGCUGAAUAUGCAGAGCUAGCGCG